rnacentral:rRNA from 1 species
UACGUAGGGUGCGAGCGUUAAUCGGAAUUACUGGGCGUAAAGCGUGCGCAGGCGGUUUUGUAAGCCAGAUAUGAAAUCCCCGGGCUUAACCUGGGAACUGCAUUUGUGACUGCAUAGCUAGAGUACGGUAGAGGGGGAUGGAAUUCCGCGUGUAGCAGUGAAAUGCGUAGAUAUGCGGAGGAACACCGAUGGCGAAGGCAAUCCCCUGGACCUGUACUGACGCUCAUGCACGAAAGCGUGGGGAGCAAACAGG